GAUGAACGCUAGCGGCAGGCUUAACACAUGCAAGUCGAGGGGUAGAGGAAGCUUGCUUCCUUGAGACCGGCGCACGGGUGCGUAACGCGUAUACAAUCUACCUUUUACAGAGGGAUAGCCCCAGAGAAAUUUGGAUUAAUACCUCAUAGUAUUUUCGGAUCGCAUGAUUUGAUUAUUAAAGUUCCAACGGUAAAAGAUGAGUAUGCGUCCCAUUAGCUAGAUGGUAAGGUAACGGCUUACCAUGGCAAUGAUGGGUAGGGGUCCUGAGAGGGAGAUCCCCCACACUGGUACUGAGACACGGACCAGACUCCUACGGGAGGCAGCAGUGAGGAAUAUUGGACAAUGGGCGCAAGCCUGAUCCAGCCAUGCCGCGUGCAGGAAUAAGGUCCUAUGGAUUGUAAACUGCUUUAUACAGGAAGAAACACACCCUCGUGAGGGUACUUGACGGUACUGUAUGAAUAAGGACCGG
rnacentral:rRNA from 1 species